rnacentral:rRNA from 1 species
CCUACGGGAGGCAGCAGUGAGGAAUAUUGGUCAAUGGGCGAGAGCCUGAACCAGCCAAGUCGCGUGAAGGAUGACGGCCCUACGGGUUGUAAACUUCUUUUGUCAGGGAGCAAUUGGGUCCACGCGUGGGCUUAGCGAGAGUACCUGAAGAAAAAGCAUCGGCUAACUCCGUGCCAGCAGCCGCGGUAAUACGGAGGAUGCGAGCGUUAUCCGGAUUUAUUGGGUUUAAAGGGUGCGUAGGCGGAAUAUCAAGUCAGCGGUAAAAAUUCGGGGCUCAACCCCGUCGUGCCGUUGAAACUGAUGUUCUGGAGUGGGCGAGAAGUACGCGGAAUGCGUGGUGUAGCGGUGAAAUGCAUAGAUAUCACGCAGAACUCCGAUUGCGAAGGCAGCAUACCGGCGCCCAACUGACGCUGAAGCACGAAAGCGUGGGUAUCGAACAGGAUUAGAUACCCGAGUAGUC